UGGGGAAUAUUGGACAAUGGGCGAAAGCCUGAUCCAGCCAUGCCGCGUGUGUGAUGAAGGCCUUAGGGUUGUAAAGCACUUUUGUCCGGGAAGAUAAUGACUGUACCGGAAGAAUAAGCCCCGGCUAACUUCGUGCCAGCAGCCGCGGUAAUACGAAGGGGGCUAGCGUUGCUCGGAAUCACUGGGCGUAAAGGGCGCGUAGGCGGACUCUUAAGUCGGGGGUGAAAGCCCAGGGCUCAACCCUGGAAUUGCCUUCGAUACUGAGAGUCUUGAGUUCGGAAGAGGUUGGUGGAACUGCGAGUGUAGAGGUGAAAUUCGUAGAUAUUCGCAAGAACACCAGUGGCGAAGGCGGCCAACUGGUCCGAUACUGACGCUGAGGCGCGAAAGCGUGGGGAGCAAACA
rnacentral:rRNA from 1 species